rnacentral:rRNA from 1 species
CCUGGCUCAGGAUGAACGCUAGCGGCAGGCUUAACACAUGCAAGUCGAGGGGCAGCGGGGAGGAAGCUUGCUUUCUCCGCCGGCGACCGGCGCACGGGUGAGUAACACGUAUGCAACCUGCCCCUGUCAGGGGGACAACCCGCCGAAAGGCGGGCUAAACCCGCGUACAUGCCACCGGGGCAUCCCGGAGGCAGGAAAGGCUUCGGCCGGACAGGGAUGGGCAUGCGGCGCAUUAGGCAGUAGGCGGGGUAACGGCCCACCUAACCGACGAUGCGUAGGGGUUCUGAGAGGAAGGUCCCCCACACUGGUACUGAGACACGGACCAGACUCCUACGGGAGGCAGCAGUGAGGAAUAUUGGUCAAUGGUCGGGAGACUGAACCAGCCAAGCCGCGUGAGGGAGGAAGGUACAGAGUAUCGUAAACCUCUUUUGUCAGGGAACAAAGGCGGGGACGUGUCCCCGGAUGAGUGUACCUGAAGAAAAAGCAUCGGCUAACUCCGUGCCAGCAGCCGCGGUAAUACGGAGGAUGCGAGCGUUAUCCGGAUUUAUUGGGUUUAAAGGGUGCGCAGGCGGUCUGUUAAGUCAGCGGUCAAAGCCCGGGGCUCAACCCCGGCCCGCCGUUGAAACUGGCAGUCUCGAGUUGGAGAGAAGUAUGCGGAAUGCGCGGUGUAGCGGUGAAAUGCAUAGAUAUCGCGCAGAACUCCGAUUGCGAAGGCAGCAUGCCGGCUCCACACUGACGCUGAGGCACGAAAGCGUGGGUAUCGAACAGGAUUAGAUACCCUGGUAGUCCACGCAGUAAACGAUGAAUGCUGGCUGUCCGGGGGGACUGACCCCUGGGUGGCGAAGCGAAAGCGAUAAGCAUUCCACCUGGGGAGUACGCCGGCAACGGUGAAACUCAAAGGAAUUGACGGGGGCCCGCACAAGCGGAGGAACAUGUGGUUUAAUUCGAUGAUACGCGAGGAACCUUACCCGGGCUCAAACGGGGAGUGGCGCAGGCAGAGACGCCUGUUUCCCACGGGACACUCCCCGAGGUGCUGCAUGGUUGUCGUCAGCUCGUGCCGUGAGGUGUCGGCUUAAGUGCCAUAACGAGCGCAACCCCCGCGUGCAGUUGCUAACAGUCAACGCUGAGGACUCUGCACGGACUGCCGGCGCAAGCCGCGAGGAAGGCGGGGAUGACGUCAAAUCAGCACGGCCCUUACGUCCGGGGCGACACACGUGUUACAAUGGGUGGUACAGCGGGAAGCCAGGCGGCGACGCCGAGCGGAACCCGAAAUCCACUCUCAGUUCGGAUCGGAGUCUGCAACCCGACUCCGUGAAGCUGGAUUCGCUAGUAAUCGCGCAUCAGCCAUGGCGCGGUGAA